rnacentral:lncRNA from 1 species
UAUCCCCCCCCACCAAAUAAAUGAGCAAUGGAAUUAAAAUUUCCUCUGAGAGUUAUCUAGAAAUGAUAGCUACAAAAAUGAAGAAACCUUAAGGAAAUUCCUUUGUCGUCUUCUCCCUUCAGAUUUUCAGUCUAUCAACUUGUGGUUCCAAAAGCAUUUGCUGAUUGACAGUUGAUAUUUUUUUCUGCACUAACAAAGAGUAGAAAAAGCAGUCAAGAAGUCAUAGAAAAAGUCGUCACAUAAAAGAAUUACAGGUAAAUAAUAUAUUUGGAGAAUUGCAUGGAAGAACUUACUAUUGACAGAUUAAGCAAACCAGAAACUGAGAGUAUGCGUUGGAUUUUGGGAUUAUUCUCAAAAUUUCCUGGCUUGGGCUCCAGGUCUUGCUGGAAUCUCAGUGGUGCCAGCUCUCAGUGUGGUCAGGGGGACUCAUCUGAAUCGCCAUUAGAUCUUUUGUCCUGAUUCCAGAAAUCAUGCCACAAAUCUUGAAAUUUAGACAGUGUUACGUCAGCUGUUUCCAUUGUGUUUUCAAUUUACUCCUUUUCUGUUUUUAUUUUUGUUUCUGGAAGAGUUUGAAAAAGUCAAUGAGUAAUGGUAAACCUGAGGCCAAGGCUCUGAGUACCAUGUGUACAAUGGAUGCUUGGAACUUGUCAUCCGAACCAUUUCUCGAAUUAUGGUACCCUGAUCGGCAUCAUCUGGGAAUUUGUUAGGAAUUCCAAUACUGGGUCCUCACCCUAAACCAACUGAAUCAGAAACUCCAGGAUCAGGUGAGGUCUAGCCACCUGUGUUUUAACAAGAGGUGAUUAAGAGACCCACUGUGCUAGGGGGAAUCCUGAGUAUAUUGGCCAUGCAGAGUAUGAACAGUGCUGUGGUUGGAGAAUGGGGGAAAUUGAUGAGAUGAUAGAAAAGAACACUUAGGCAUUUUUUAAUUCAAAAAAGAAAAAAAAUGUCUUAAAAGCCU